rnacentral:tRNA from 1 species
GUGGGUAUAGCUCAGUGGUAGAGUGCAUGCUUAGCAUGCAUGAGGUCCUGGGUUCAAUCCCCCGUACCUCUG